rnacentral:lncRNA from 1 species
UUUUGAGAAACCUAGGGGCACAUUGGCUUCAAGUGAAAAGCCAUGGAUUGUGCCUACAGCUAAAAUAUCUGAAGAUUCCAAAGUUCUGCAGCCUCAAACUGCAACAAGUGAUCGUAUUCUGGAUUCUAUCCCACCUAAAACUUCUAGAACUCUUGAACAGCCAAGGGCAACACUGGCUCCAAGUGAAACACCAUUUGUUCCUCAAAAACUGGAAAUCUUUACCAGUCCAGAAAUGCAGCCUACGACACCUG